rnacentral:SRP_RNA from 1 species
GCUGGGUGUGGUGGUGGGCGCCUGUAAUCCCAGCUACUUGGGAGGCUGAGGUAGGAGAAUCGCUUGAACCUGGGAGGCGGAGGUUGCAGUGAGCUAAGAUCAGGCCACUGCACUCCAACCUGGGUGAUAGAGCGAGACUCUGUCUCAA